ensembl:lncRNA
GUAUUCAUCCUGUCAGUUGGAGCUGGAGUCGGACCUUAAAACAUCAAACUUCCACAGGAUGGGACGGUUAACUCCGCUUGCUGAUUGCUUCCGAGGAGAUCGAGGUUACCUACGUGCAGGACAGCGUUAGAUGUGGCUCAUGGAGCCCACUCUCCGACUAAAACGGAGCAGAGAGAGACCUGCCUCAGACCUGCUGGGAGCAUCAGUGAGUGGAGACUCCAUUCCGGACAGACACAAUAAAUUAAGGCACACACAGGACCCCCGCCUUCAAUACCAUAGUUCCCUAUAAGCUCAUUACAAAGCUCACGGCCCUAGGUCUGAACUCCUCCCUACUCAACUGGGUGCUGGACUUCUUGACGGGCCAUCCCCAGGUGGUGACGAUAGGCAACAUGACCUCCUCGACACUGAUCCUCAACACGGGGACAACACAAGGG